UACAGAGGGUGCGAGCGUUGUCCGGAAUUACUGGGCGUAAAGCGUGCGUAGGUGGUUUGUUAAGUCUGUUGUGAAAGCCCCGGGCUCAACCUGGGAAUGGCAAUGGAUACUGGCAAGCUAGAGUGCGGUAGAGGGUAGUGGAAUUCCCGGUGUAGCGGUGAAAUGCGUAGAGAUCGGGAGGAACACCAGUGGCGAAGGCGGCUACCUGGACCAGCACUGACACUGAGGCACGAAAGCGUGGGGAGCAAACAGG
rnacentral:rRNA from 1 species